GGUCAGAUGUGUAUAAGGGACAGGUGAAUCAUCGAAUCUUUGAACGCACAUUGCGCCCGGUGGUAUUCCGCCGGGCAUGCCUGUUCGAGCGUCAUUAUAACCACUCAAGCCUGGCUUGGUAUUGGGGCUCGCGGUUCCGCGGCCCCUAAAAUCAGUGGCGGUGCCGGUGGGCUCUAAGCGUAGUAAAUCUCCUCGCUAUAGGGUCCCUCCGGUUGCCUGCCAGAACCCCCCCAUUUUUUUAGGUUGACCUCGGAUCAGGUAGGGAUACCCGCUGAACUUAAGCAUAUCAAUAAGCGGAGG
rnacentral:misc_RNA from 1 species